rnacentral:tRNA from 1 species
UCCCUGGUGGCUCAGAUAGUAAAGCGUCUGCCUGCAAUGCAGGAGACCCAGGUUUGAUCCCUGGGUUGGAAA